rnacentral:rRNA from 1 species
AGUACGUGAAACCGUUCAGGGGUAAACCUAAGAAACCCAAAAGAUCGAACGGGGAGAUUCAUCGUCAGCGGAGCUGGCUUCGCGUUGGUGGGCGAUGACCUUCGUGCACGUCCUGGUUACGAGCACGCGGGCACGCUACCGUGCGCCGAUGUCCGGUUUUCGUCGUCGUGCACUUCUCCCCUAGUAGAACGUCGCGACCCGCUGUGUGUUGGUCAACGGCCCGAGUGCGGUGACUGUCGCGUCGCCCGUAAAAACGGCGCGCGGCAAACCCUCGGUCGCCCGACCGGCUGCACGGCGGUACACGCACGGUAUAAGGCCGCACCAACGGUGCGUCGAGAAGUAGUCGGGCGCGCGCCAUGGUUUUAAAUUCGGCGGUAACGGACUUAGCGCCGUCCCCGAUCCUGGCGCGUUCGCGCCGCACGUGUCUCCAAAAGUUAGACCUUCGACUGGCCUUGCAAACGUCCCGCGCGCGCGCGAAAGCGCCGCGGCGCGGGACCGAUACCGGUCGGCGACGCUACUGCUUUGGGUACUCUUAGGACCCGUCUUGAAAACACGGAA